GCCGGCGUACUCCAACUGGCAGAGAGACUCGGCUUAGGACCGAGCCAGUGCGGGUUCGAAUCCCGCCGCCGGCACC
rnacentral:tRNA from 1 species